rnacentral:rRNA from 1 species
UAGGGAAUCUUCCACAAUGGGCGAAAGACCUGAUGGAGCAACGCCGCGUGUGUGAUGAAGGGUUUCGGCUCGUAAACACUGUUGUAAGAGAAGAAUGACAUUGAGAGUAACUGUUCAAUGUGUGACGGUAUCUUACCAGAAAGGAACGGCUAAAUACGUGCCAG